rnacentral:rRNA from 1 species
AGCGAACGCUGGCGGCAGGCCUAACACAUGCAAGUCGAACGGAUCCUUCGGGAUUAGUGGCAGACGGGUGAGUAACACGUGGGAACGUGCCUUUUGGUUCGGAACAACUCAGGGAAACUUGAGCUAAUACCGGAUGUGCCCUUCGGGGAAGGAUUAUCGCCAUUAGAGCGGCCCGCGUCUGAUUAGCUAGUUGGUGAGGUAAAGGCUCACCAAGGCUUCGAUCAGUAGCUGGCUGAGAGGAUGAUCAGCCACACUGGGACUGAGACACGGCCCAGACUCCUACGGGAGGCAGCAGUGGGGAAUUUUGGACAAUGGGGGCAACCCUGAUCCAGCCAUGCCGCGUGC